UCAUCUGCUUCUUCUUUCUUCUUUCUUCUCGUGCUAAUCAAUCCCUGCUCCUCCUGAUCCGCGGUACUGCUGGGCACAUCAGAGCCUAAUUAUCCCCCCCUCCCCCCGCCACUCUGACCGCGUUGCCCUUUUUCCACUCCGUAAAACGGAUUUUGGUAUUUCUAAUUUUGAAACUCGAUACGUUUUUUUAUUUUCGAUUCUGUUGUUAGAUAUUCCCCAAAUUAUAUUAACGAUUAUCAAAUAGUAACUAGUACGUGUUCGGGAUUCAACGUCAAGUUACUGAGACGUUUAACAAUGGUUUGGAAGUUUAUGCUCUCGCUAUCUUUUUAUUUUGUUAGUUUUUUUUACUUAUUUUAGUAUUAUCAUACACGAUUCAACAUGACUGUGGUAGAUUUAUUUAUUUCUUUUCUACGUCUAAUUAUCCAAGUUUCGUUUCUUUGAAUUUAGUAUUUUGCGGGUGUGUUUUUUGAGAGUUUCGGUGUGUAUUUUUAAUUUGCAUGUUGAGUUUGAUAGUAUGUAGAAGCGACCGAUCAUUUAUUCUCAAUAUAAUACACUUUAGAAGAAUCCACACGUAGCAUUGGUGAUCAAAUGCGAUUGUGAGGCUUUGAAAUUAGUGGUCAAUGGUUUGCUAACAUGUCUCAACUUAACGAGUGGCAAAUAACGAUCACCUGAAUUGGCCGGAACCUGUAAGAAAGGAAAGAGUAACGCCACGGUUAUGGGUCCACGGUGAUGGAAUACAUUCAUGCUCCAAGAUGCCUGGACCUGAGAAUUAAAUGGGAGCUAGAGCCUGUGAGAACGAAGAGCCUGGAGCUUAGAGCUCCCAGUUUGGAACCAUUGGGAACGUGUUCCCUGUGUGGGCAACGAAGCUGGUGGUGGUUUUGAAUCGUCAACGUGGGGGGGGCUUGGAGCGGAAGGAAUCGUUUUACUGGUUUUAGCAUCUCGCCAGCUUGCAAUGCCAAUGUUGAGAACCGCAAAGAUAUGACGCCUGGGCCUGGUUUUUUACUAAUUCGUCAAUCAGGGUACAAAGUUGUCUUAAACUAGGGUGUCAAUAAAUGAGCGCGCAGGGUUUCUAACGAUUCUCAAUCCAGGGUAUCGUCAUUCCUGUGAAGCUUUGGCUUCCGACGAGUUUGCUGCUGCACUGGGAUGAGUUGAGGAUCAGCCGUUGCGGUGGAUUCAAGUGGCAGAGUUUACCGGACUUCAUUGCGAUGGGACGAUGACCGCAAGACAAAUCAGUUACACAUGAGGUUACUCUAGUUUCACUUAACACAUUUCAUUCUCUUCUUCACGAACCGUUGGACUUAGGUUACCGUCGACAACGAUUGGUGCAAUCGGUUUAUCCGAAAAUCUAUAGAGUCAACCUCGUCGGCAACCUCUAAGGCGAAAUGAGUGAGUUCGGAGUUCAUGGCACUGACGAUAUUUGUAAGGAAUUACCAGAAUUUAGAGUGGACAUGAUUGAGUACAUGAAGUGUGGCAAGAUCAUGUACACUGUUGAAACCUGAGGAUGCCUGUGUUCGUCGCCAUUGUUGUCCUCUGUUUCGUUUGUGAUGCAGAACUUGUGUUUCACGUUUUUCCCUCUCCCCAGCGGUGUUGUUGUUGUUGUUGGUGGUGCAAGUAAUCGUCACCCUUGUCGGCAGCCCUGAGUUUGUUGAGUCUUGACAUGCCAGGCCAGGGAUUUUAUAGGGUAUUUAUAUAUAUACCGAAACACAUGGUGGACUCAACAGCCAUCCUAGAUAUGUAUAUACAAUUGUACAUUUUCGGGGUAUACCCUUCGCAAGGGUUAACGUGUUUAGUGUACGUUAACGUCCAGAAUCCUAAAAUCUCAUCUCCGAGGCGAAUCUUGGGGCAAUCCAAGCCAGGGAACGGGGACAUUGGAACCUCAUCCAAAGGACGAGACUUGUCAGCAGUACCAGGAUGAGGUGUAUUUGAGCUCUUCUCCCUUUUUAUGGUGGCACACGAGAAGUAUGUGUUUCAAUUCUCCACAAACCCCCUUGCUCUAAUCUUUCCUUUCGCCUGCUACAGAGUCACAAAUAAAUUUUUUUGGGCGUUUGGAAACGAAAUGCUUCAAGAAAGUAUAGCUAUUGCUUCAAAAGUCUAGAUUGCCACAGAUUAUCAUCAAAACUGUAAAUUCAGGAAAAAUACUUUGGAAAAUACGAGUAGAAUGAGGAGGAUCAUUUUUAGGCUGGAAGUGCCAGUUGGAUUGAUUCCAAUUUCUGCUGCCGUAACAUUUGACUCACUUUAUUUCCCUUGCAAGCACAGGGUUCAAAAGACUAAUAUUCAACUUUUGAUUAUUAAUGUUUUCUAAAAA